GGGAGAGUUCCCUAGCGGCAAUGGGGCGAGUCUGUAAAACUUGUGCGUUUACGCUGCGUUGGUUCGAGUCCAACCUCUCCCACCA
rnacentral:tRNA from 1 species